rnacentral:lncRNA from 10 species
GAAGAGGACCCUGGGAAGGUGGCUCCCGCCUCACUCCUAGAGUGAAAUCCUCGCAGCCCUGCCCUCGCGGGCGGAGCAGAGACGCCGCCGCUUGGCCGGUUCACGCCUGUCACACAAAGCCGCCGAGGGUCGGCUGCGCCCCUGGCAAGGCUGUAGGGCUGGGGAUACUGAGUAUGACAGGCGAGGUCCCUGCUCUCAAGAACUUACAUGGGAGAGAAGGGGAGACAAGAUAAACAGAUGGAGCAACUCAACCCAAAAAGGUUGGUCUGUAUGGUGACGGAAUGUGGUCUCCCAGUUUUCAGCACAGCACUCAUUCAGCUAUUCUGCUCUUCAGAAAGCAGGAGGGAUGUGCCCUAAGGUGGACUAUUGAAAUGAUGAAAGCCACUGAGGAAGAGCCAGAGAAUUCUCGUAGCUGUGAUUAGACAUCAACCUUGGGCAUGCUAAACAUUUCAGCCUGGACACCCUGAGAAGAGCCAGUGCCACUGGUGACAGCUGCUUCUGUGCGGGCUUUUGCUUGGCCAGAGAGGCAGGACCUUCUCCCUGGCAUUUUGAGGAGUGGUGCCGGGUGGGCAGUGACUGCACUAGCAACAGUCUAUACCAAGAGAAGACCUCAAAUUCCCAGAGAAGAAAGGCAGCGAGGCCAAGAAAUGCUGCCGCCGCUUAACAAGUGAAGAUGCAUACUGGAGAAUAGGAACUGAACACGCGAAGGAGUUUCGGCUUUACUGCCUUCUCUCCUAGCAUUGAACAGAUCUUCUCUGCUGUUGAUUAUUCUCCAUGAAUCAUCAUCCAUAGAAAGUGACUGAGGCAAUAGAGAGUGAAUAAUGAAUCUCUCAAAUAGUCUUUUGUGUUUCUGCCUGGAGGGUUUUGGAAAUAACUUGCAUCUUAAUCUUUCUGACUUAGAAUCAUAGAAUUUGGGAGCUGAAAAGGACCUUCAUCAGGGCAUGUGGCCUCACAGAAAGACUGGAAGAAAAGAUUUGUGGGUAUGAGCCUCUGGUUCAUCACUAAAAAUAGGCCUAGUCUAACAUAUAUUGGAGGCUUUCCUUGUGUCAGGUACUCAUUUAUUCUUCCAAAACCUUGGGAGGUAGGUGCUGCUAUUCCUCCAUUCUGCAGAGGAGGAAGAGAUGAGGAGACAGUAGAUCACCAGAGGGCAGUGUGAGGGGUGUGCUGGAACCAUCAUGUGGAACUGGCUCUGGUUCCAGAAUCCACAUCCUCUCGGUCAUUCCACUCCCACAUCAAGUGGCUUUGGACAAGUAAUUUAACUUCUUUGGAUCUCAGUUUUCUCCUCCGUGAUCUCUAAAGUUUAAAAAUUACUAACAGUCUGCAUCUGCCACCCAAGCAUGUGAUUUUACAAGUCAGAAAAGUGUAGCGCAGAAAUGUUAAGUGACCUGCCCUAGGUCACCCAGGUUGCUAAGGGCAGAAUCAGCACAGAAACCCAGGCCCAGUGACCACUGCCCCCAGGCAAGACCUCCUUCCCUUCCACUGCACUUUGGCAGGUGUUCUAGGGGAAUCCAACUCCUUGCCUUAGAGGAGACCUGUUCAAUGAUAUCAGAUAGACUGGAGAUGUUACGUUUUGGUGUGGCCAAUCACAACACCAGGAUGAGCUUAGGAGGCUGGUGAUAUUUGUCUAUCUAAGCACCCCCAACCUAUCUAUCUGUCUGCUGUUUGUCUAUCUUUCUCAGGUUAUGCAUAGUGACCAAACCCCGCCUGGUAACUGUAGGGAAAGAGCAUGACUGGUGUGUUACAGCUACACACGCCCCCUGGUGGUAUUUCCAGUUGUUUGUCCUCUUCAUGCAAAUGUUGCCACCUUGUGCCAGCUCUCUCACCUAGCUUCCUUCAUGACGACAGUGGUUGCAAUUCUGCUCCUCUCUCUGCCUUCCCCUGUCCUUGGCUCCCCAUGUCCAGAAUCUGAUCAUUUACUGGUGUGCACCCUGGGAUGUGAUGUGUGCUUUGGGAGGAGACAGGACCCAACAGUAUCUCAGCUGUGCUCUGGUAAUCAGUGUGCACCACAUUACAAGCAUCCUCAUCCCAGUAUCCUCCCUAUUGAAAAAGAAAUGGGAAAGGGGUGGAUGUGUCAAUAAACACAACAUUGAAGGCAUCUGAAAUAGAACAAGGACAUCCUGGGUGAGGCAUU